AUGUUCAUAAGAGUUGUAGAAAGCGCCUGCCUGUCUGUGUCAAGGUGAAAAUGAAGUCUGCCAGACAGCAGUUUGCAGUUCCAGAUUCAGCCACCAUUCCUGUUGUCACCCGGAGACCAAAACGCGGGUUAAACCCGGGUGCCUCGAGGGAGCGACCCUGGUCAGCCAUCUUGUCUCCAGAAGACCACUCCUCAUUGGUUGUUCCCUCCCGAAGACAUACCUCCAUCAUACCCUUCCACGGCUCCAACCUGUCAAAGAGCAUCUCCAUAUCCAACAU